AGAGCGGGCGCUGCGAGCGGCAGACACACAGCGGCUCCGGCACCUCUCCUCGACUCAGGUCACCGCCCGCGUCCAGCCUGCACUCGAGCUGCUCGCCGCAGCGCCCGUAGAAGUUAGCGCUGGGGUCCAGAUCGCAGAGCUGGCCCUCCAGGUUUGCGCAUUCCCAGCAGCAGCCGCACGCAUCCCGCACCCGGCCUGCUAGGCAUCCCCGCGGCGCAGCGCACUCUUCUGGCCGGCAGGGAGCACAACCCUCGCCCUCGGCUAGCAGCCGCAGCCAGCCUCGCCGCAGAUCACAAUGUGGACCACCAAUAAAGCAAGGAUUCUAUGUCCCAGAUGGAGAUCACCUUCUGCUUGCUUUGCCUUUAAACGUCCCUGACUGAUGUGACUGUCAUCCUGAGGGAUCCCGAGGCCAGGGUGCAGACUUGGUGCCAGUAUAUGAAUAAAAGCCUCUUCUUUAUUAAGAUGUAUUAAUGGUCAGACUGGUGAAUCCCUAAACAACCCAGACCGGACCAACCCAUGGCUUUUCCAUAGGUGAUGCCCACCCCACCUUAUCCUGCACUCGAUUCUAGACAUCUGUGAAGAGAGCGGAAUUCAUCCCUUUGCUGCCUGUCUCAUCUAGGUUUGCUGAGAUGUGAACUAGACUGAGAACCACAGUGUUCACGACCAUACCUAGAGUCAACAUGUAGAUUUUUGUUGUUGUUGCUGCUGACUCCAGCUUGGCCAUGGCAGGGACAGCGCAUGACAUGGCUCCCACCCCUAGAAAAGAGCCAGCAGGGCGUGGGCCUCUGGAAGUGUCGAUGGUUGCUGUGGGCAUACGGCUUGAUUGUAUAAAAUUAUAUAUUUUAUUUAUGCUCUUCCUUUA